GGCCCAUGAGAGUCACCAAAGCCUGUUUUUUUUUUUCUUUUGGAACUGUUUAUCAAGGAUUCUAAAUAGUAUUGCCUCCUCAGUUCUUGCCUGUAAAAAAAACACGUAGAUACUCAAUAGGCUGGUUGAUCUGUUUCACUUUAUUUCACUCUUUCUAAAUGUUCUGCCUGAAAGUUGGUGUCACAUCCUUCAGAGAUGUCUGGAACUGUGGACCACGCCUGCAGCUGGCUUCCACCUUACUGAACAUGGGUGUGUGGCACAUAGCUGUCAUAUAACAAAUGUGUGACUGAUUGUGCAAAGGUGAAAACGAGUGAGGCCCUCAACUCCACCCUGCCACCCCAACAGCUGAGGAGGGCAGUGGGGGUGCCUGCUGUUUUACAUCCCAGGUAAUUAAACCGCCCCUUGCUCUUCCACUGCCCUUCAUGGACACGGGUGGGGCAGUUAACAUUGUUCAGAACCAGCUUCCACUGAGCAUGGUAUCUCUAAUUAGAGCCUCAGAUCUGUCUGUCUGUCUCUCUCUCUCUCAUAGAUACACACACACACACACACACACACAGUCUGAGUGUGGCGCCCCCGGGCUUGUUUUGCAAGGGCAUUAGAUAGGGAGACAGGGAAAGUGGGCUGGACUGAAGAGUUUAUUUUCUGAAGCCAGACAUUUGUUUGGGCUGCCAUUGGACACUUGAGUAACCUCAAGAGAGGGCUGGCCAGGGCAGGACAGGUCAGGGGAUCCAGCUAAACGGGAGGUCCUUGGGAAUGACACAGAUAACUAAGUGCCGAAUCCCAGGAGGUCAAACAGGCCCAGGAAGGGGCAGACUGAAACUCAUAUCAACACUUGGAAAAAAAAAAGUGACAGAAGACAGGAAAAGGGGUCAGGGAAGGAUUAGGACGAGGCAACAGACAAGUAAAACUCUCGUGCGGGGUUCCACCAGAAACGCAACAGGAUGGGGCAGCGGGACGGGGAAGGGGGUCAGGGAAGGGGUCGGGGAAGGUGGUGGCCAUUUCUGGUCAGGUGGAAAAUGGCAGCGUGUCUGUGUGCUAAUGGGGUGAUCCAGCAGAGGGGACAGCAGGUGGUAGGACGAGAGUGAGGCCACAUCAGGAGCUGUGGAAGAAGAGCUGGAGUCAGUCCAAUACCAGGGGUUCUGGCACCACGGGGGCCAAGUGGCUUCUGCCACAGUCACAGUAGAAGGCAGAGUACGGAGGUUUGGGGGCUGGGUGUAGGCGUGUAUGGUUGGGGGAGUCUGAGGAGGCACCCCAGAGAGGCAGUGGGAGCAGCCAAUGCAAUGUGCUCCCACAGCUCCGUCAGCAGGUGGCUGGGGAGGCCACAGGGCAGCUUAGGGUCACCCCGUUUCCACCACUUUUCACCUAUGUAACCUUGAAUGAGUUGUUCACCCUCUCUCUCUCUGCCUCAGUUUCCUAAUCUGUAAACCUGAGCAACUGCAGGUCUCUGCCCCCGGAAAACUCAUUGAGAGCAUGUAGAUGAGGCAAUACCUACACAGCCCCUAGCUCAGCACCUGCCCAUCGGAAUCCUUCCUCUCUGGGUGCCUGCGGUGAAGCCCCGGCCCGGCCAACCUGGACCUCUCCAUUCCCACUCUGGAGCUAGCGCUGGGUGUUCCUGGGGAAGCACUGCUUGGCCUCCUCACUCAUGCUUUCACAUUGUUUCUCACUCUCACAUCCAGACAAGACAGCACCAGGAAACCCACGCUGAGCUGGAACCCUCCUUCUGCAACAAACAAGCUGGGAAGGUCCUGGGCAAGUUGUUACGUCUCUCUGAGCCUCGUUUGCAUCCCACAUAAAAGAGGAGGCAGGAUUGAAUGAGCUCUAAGGUUCCUUCAAGUUCUAGAUUCAUGAAAUAAUGUUUUUUCCUCAAGAAAAAGAAUUAUUCAUUGUAUAAAGAAAUACACACCUGUAAUCCCAACUACCCACUGGCUGAGGCAGGAGGCUCGUUUGAGGCUCGUUGAGUUCAAGGCUGCAGCGAGAUCAGGCCACUACGCUCCAGCUUGGGUGACAGGGUGAGACCCUGUCAGAAAAAAAGAAAAGAAAAGAAGAGGGAAGGGGAUGGGAGGGGAGGGGAGGGGAGGGGAAACAAUGGGUCUCAAAGAAAAUCCUUUAAGAACACACAGAAGCAGUAGGGAGAGCCCACGCCUGUCCUCAUUUGUCCCUGGAGCUGUGGGCUGUGAGCUGAUGCUGUGAAGGCCAGACCCAAAGCCAGUCACACAGAGGCAGCAGCUGGACCGGCCUCGCCGACUGAGACCAGUGGCCACACAGACACACACCUGACAAGGUAGACCACGAAACACAGACGCAGGCCUACUGCCAAACAGACGACUUCUCCCUCAAAGCACAGUCAUCUUCAGAAUGAGAGGCGGCCCAUCCUAUGGAACCGAGAGGCGUGGCUCUUAAAUUUGGGCUUCAAAAGACAAGCUCAGUCCCUGAUUUUUUCCACCUGAGAAGGAGGCUUUUCUGAACAUGACCCAGUGCGUUCAGAGCAGCCAGGAUGAGGAAACACAUCUACAAAGAAGCAGCUUAAUCCAAACACAAGAAAUGGUAUGCAAAAUAGGAUAUCAGACGUACUUUUGCAAUUGAACAUGGUCAAAACCAUUUUGCAGCAAGUAACUUUUCCUGAGUUCAAGUAAGAGUUUAGUCCAACAUUUAUAUGUGACACAGCCAUGUGAGGCCUCUUCUCUGAGUACAAAGUAAAGUCUGG
rnacentral:lncRNA from 1 species